rnacentral:rRNA from 1 species
UACGUAGGGUGCGAGCGUUAAUCGGAAUUACUGGGCGUAAAGCGUGCGCAGGCGGUUUUGUAAGACAGAUGUGAAAUCCCCGGGCUCAACCUGGGAACUGCAUUUGUGACUGCAAGGCUAGAGUACGGCAGAGGGGGGUAGAAUUCCACGUGUAGCAGUGAAAUGCGUAGAUAUGUGGAGGAACACCUGAGGCGAAGGCGGGCUACUGGGCCGAUACUGACGCUGAGGCGCGAAAGCCAGGGGAGCAAACGGG